rnacentral:rRNA from 1 species
GAUGAACGCUGGCGGCGUGCCUAAUACAUGCAAGUCGAGCGAACAGAUGAGGAGCUUGCUCCUCUGACGUUAGCGGCGGACGGGUGAGUAACACGUGGAUAACCUACCUAUAAGACUGGGAUAACUUCGGGAAACCGGAGCUAAUACCGGAUAAUAUAUUGAACCGCAUGGUUCAAUAGUGGAAGACGGUUUUGCUGUCACUUAUAGAUGGAUCCGCGCCGCAUUAGCUAGUUGGUAAGGUAACGGCUUACCAAGGCAACGAUGCGUAGCCGACCUGAGAGGGUGAUCGGCCACACUGGAACUGAGACACGGUCCAGACUCCUACGGGAGGCAGCAGUAGGGAAUCUUCCGCAAUGGGCGAAAGCCUGACGGAGCAACGCCGCGUGAGUGAUGAAGGUCUUCGGAUCGUAAAACUCUGUUGUUAGGGAAGAACAAAUGUGUAAGUAACUAUGCACGUCUUGACGGUACCUAAUCAGAAAGCCACGGCUAACUACGUG